rnacentral:rRNA from 1 species
UGUUGUGUGUUGUAAGGGCACAUGGUGGAUGCCUUGGCAUGCUAAGCCGAUGAAGGACGUGGAAGGCUGCGUUAUGCCUCGGGGAGUUGUCAAUCGAGCGUUGAUCCGAGGAUGUCCGAAUGGGGAAACCCGGCUGUGGUUAUUCGCAGUCACCUGCUGGUGAAUUUAUAGUCAGUAUGGGGGUUACGCGGGGAAGUGAAACAUCUCAGUACCCGUAGGAGAAGGAAACAAUAGUGAUUUCGUUAGUAGCGGCGAGCGAACGCGAAUGUUGGCUAAACUGCAUGUGUGUGAUACCUGGUAGGGGUUGCAUGUGUGGGGUUGUUGGGAGCAAUUGUUCAGUCACUACCAUGGCUGUGCUGGUGCGUGCGUGUUAGGUGAAGUGGUUUGGAAUGGCCCACCGGAGUAGGUGAGAGUCCUGUAGUUGAAGGCAUGUGCGUGUUGGUUGUUGUUUCCCGAGUAGCGGCGGGCUCGUGGAAUCUGCCGUGAAUCUGCCGGGACCACCCGGUAAGCCUAAAUACUUAGUGUGACCGAUAGCGGAUAGUACCGUGAGGGAAUGGUGAAAAGUACCCCGGGAGGGGAGUGAAAUAGUUCCUGAAACCAUGUGCUUACAAUCCGUCAGAGCACCUUUUGUUGUGUGAUGGCGUGCCUUUUGAAGAAUGAGCCUGCGAGUCAGCGGCAUGUCGCGAGGUUAACCCGUGUGGGGUAGUCGUAGCGAAAGCGAAUCCUAAUUAGGGUGUUGUAGUGGCAUGUCCUGGACCCGAAGCGGGGUGAUCUACCCAUGGCCAGUGUGAAGCAGCUGUAAGAGGUUGUGGAGGCGCGAACCCACGUAGGUUGAAAACUGCGGGGAUGAGCUGUGGGUAGGGGUGAAAGGCCAAUCAAACUCCGUGAUAGCUGGUUCUCCCCGAAAUGCAUUUAGGUGCAGCGUCGUAGGUUAGCUUGGUGGAGGUAGAGCUACUGUUUGGUUGAGCGGGACUAUCAUCUUAGCAACAUCAGACAAACUCCGAAUGCCAUUGAAGUGUUCUACGGCAGUGAGACUGUGGGGGAUAAGCUUCAUAGUCGAGAGGGAAACAGCCCAGAUCGCCGGCUAAGGCCCCUAAGGGUGUACUAAGUGGAAAAGGAUGUGGGAUCGCGAUGACAGCCAGGAGGUUGGCUUAGAAGCAGCCAUCCUUGAAAGAGUGCGUAAUAGCUCACUGGUCGAGUGGUUCUGCGCCGACAAUGUAGUGGGGCUCAAGUACACCGCCGAAGCCGCGGCAACUAUUUUUUAGUUGGGUAGGGGAGCGUCGUGCAUGAGGUGAAGCAUGAGUGUGAACACGUGUGGAUUGUGUGCGAGUGAGAAUGCAGGCAUGAGUAACGAAUUGUAAGGUGAGAAUCCUUACCGCCGGAUGACUAAGGGUUCCUGGGUCAAGUUCGUCUUCCCAGGGUGAGUCGGGACCUAAGGCGAGGCCGACAGGCGUAGUCGAUGGAUAACCAGUUGAUAUUCUGGUACCCGAGUGUGUGCGUCAAUGGUAAAGCAGUGAUACUAACCACGUGUGAGACUCAUUGAUUAUGCUCUUUGAGUGUGUUGAUGGGUUGAGUUUGUGGGGCCUGAUCUGUGGUCCAAGUGAUGGGGUGACGCAGUGGGGCAGCCACGCCGCUUAUUGGAUUGUUGGUGUAAGCGUUGAGGUUGGUGCCAUUGGUAAAUCCGGGCACUGUUUGCUGAGGCGUGAUGCGUAGCCCUUUUUUGGGUGAAUGUGGUGUGCUUAUGCUGUCGAGAAAAGCCUCUAGCGAGUGCAUAUUCGGCCCGUACCCUAAACCGACACAGGUAGUCAGGUUGAGAAUACUAAGGCGUUCGGGUGAACUGUGGUUAAGGAACUCGGCAAAAUGUCCCCGUAACUUCGGGAGAAGGGGAGCCCCACCGGGUUUUGCUUGGUGGGGCCGCAGAGAAUAGAGGGGUCCGACUGUUUAUCAAAAACACAGGUCCAUGCGAAAACGUUAAGUUGAUGUAUAUGGACUGACGCCUGCCCGGUGCUGGAAGGUUAAGAGGACCUGUUAGACCUUUUGGGUCGAAGCGGAGAAUUUAAGCCCCAGUAAACGGCGGUGGUAACUAUAACCAUCCUAAGGUAGCGAAAUUCCUUGUCGGGUAAGUUCCGACCUGCACGAAUGGCGUAACGAGACCCCUGCUGUCUCAACCACAGGCCCGGUGAAAUUGCAGUACGAGUAAAGAUGCUCGUUACGCGCGGCAGGACGAAAAGACCCCGGGACCUUCACUAUAGCUUGGUAUUGGUGUUCGGUUUGGCUUGUGUAGGAUAGGUGGGAGACUGUGAGGCAUGCACGCUAGUGUGUGUGGAGUCGUUGUUGAAAUACCACUCUGGCUUGAUCGGAUACCUUAACCUUGGCCCAUGAUCUGGGUUGGGGACAGUGCCUGGUGGGUAGUUUAACUGGGGCGGUUGCCUCCUAAAGAGUAACGGAGGCGCCCAAAGGUUUCCUCAGCCUGGUUGGCAAUCAGGUUUUGAGUGUAAGUGCACAAGGAAGCUUGACUGUGAGAGUUACUGCUCGAGCAGGGACGAAAGUCGGGACUAGUGAUCCGGCACCUACUUGUGGAUGUGGUGUCGCUCAACGGAUAAAAGGUACCCCGGGGAUAACAGGCUGAUCUUCCCCAAGAGUCCAUAUCGACGGGAUGGUUUGGCACCUCGAUGUCGGCUCGUCGCAUCCUGGGGCUGGAGUAGGUCCCAAGGGUUGGGCUGUUCGCCCAUUAAAGCGGCACGCGAGCUGGGUUCAGAACGUCGUGAGACAGUUCGGUCUCUAUCCGCCGCGCGCGUAGAAACUUGAAAAAGGCUGUCCCUAGUACGAGAGGACCGGGAUGGAUACACCUCUAGUGUGCCAGUUGUCACGCCCGUGGCAUGGCUGGUUGGCUACGUGUAGAAGGGAUAACCGCUGAAAGCAUCUAAGCGGGAAGCCUGUUUUGAGAUGAGGUUUCGUUAUUAGGUGCCCUAGAGACUAUGGGGUUGAUAGGCCAGAUCUGGAAGCGUUGUAAGGCGUGGAGGUGACUGGUACUAAUUCACCGAACUACUACAACAUACC